rnacentral:rRNA from 1 species
UACGAAGGGGGCUAGCGUUGCUCGGAAUCACUGGGCGUAAAGCGCACGUAGGCGGACUCUUAAGUCGGUGGUGAAAUCCUGGAGCUCAACUCCAGAACUGCCUUCGAUACUGAGAGUCUCGAGUCCGGGAGAGGUGAGUGGAACUGCGAGUGUAGAGGUGAAAUUCGUAGAUAUUCGCAAGAACACCAGUGGCGAAGGCGGCUCACUGGCCCGGUACUGACGCUGAGGUGCGAAAGCGUGGGGAGCGAACGGG